GCGGCGUCCGCGCGCCUUACCGGGAGCCGCAGCCCCGGGAGGCCCGGCCCUCGCGACCCCAUUCUUCGGCUUCUGCUCCGGCGCAGCGGCGCGGAGCCUGUUGGCGGACCCGGCUGCUUCGUUCUCAGCCCGGCGGGCGUCCGCGCCGGGGGCUUCUGCGCGCUCCCAGCGGCCUCGGGUGCGCCCGGACUGCGCGGCGCGGGGCUGCUGCCCGGCCUGUGCGGCUCCCUGGGCUCGCUGCCCGGCUUCUGACCUGGCGCUGAAGGUUCCCAAGAGCACGGGCCGCUUCACGGACAAGGAAACCCAGGGAGUCCAAGGCAGAGCGGAGACUCAGCUUCUCCGAGAUUUUGUAUUUCCUCCAGAAACACAGAGCCUGAGCCGGGGGAGGGCAGACGGAGAGGGAGUAGCAGCCCGCGUGGGGAUCACGGCCUGCGCUGGAGGCGGGAGCGGCGGGCUGGGGUUUCAUCCGGGAAACCUAGCUCCAGUGGUCAUCGGCCGUUGAGUAUGUGCAGGUCCUGCCACAGCCCGUACGGCAGGAGUUGAAGAAACCGAGACCGUAGCAGGGUUGCUCGCGGCCGGGGCUCCCGGGCUGGAGGGAUCGUGGAAAUGACAUUUGGCCUGAAAACCUGAUGUCUGAAUGACCUGGGGACGGGGGAAGCGUUUUCAGAGCUUAGGGGCCGUGCAAAGGCCAUGGGGUGGUGGAAGGCCCUGCCUGUCAGAGGAGGAUGACUACAGGCUCACAGAAGUUUGCAGGAGUCUAGACAGGGGCCUUGGACGUGUCCUCACGUUCCUGCCAUGGCUCUGCUUUGUGCUUCUGUGACACAGUAUCCCAGCCAGGACCCUGACCUGAUGCCGUGCGGGCAGAGCUCUGAGCCGUCGUGUGGCACGCGUGGAUUGUGUACUCGCUACCCUAGCCAAGAGGUGCGGGCGCACCUGCACAGCCGCCGCUGGCUGCGGACCGGAAACUCUCAGCUUGCCCGGUCGCGAGGGAGCUUCUGCUGCUCCGAGGACAGCUAGCACACCCCUCCUCAGAGCCUGUCCGGACCCCCCCAGCGGCGGCCGAGAGGACUCACCAGCCCCUUCCUCUCCCCGCUCGCCAGAUCAAGGCUGACCUCGUCUUGACUAUUCACAUCUGCAAAGACCCUGUUUCCAAGGAGGCCCCAGCUCACAGGCUCCUGACGGUCAGGACUUCAGCGGAACCUCUGGGCUUGCAUUCAACCCGGAAAGACCUCCCAGCUGGCAGGCUCCGCCCCUGCGGCGGGUCCGGGCCUAGCAGCGAUCUCGCGCCCCGCGGUCGGCCGCGUAAAACAGAGCUGAAAUGCGAGAGCCUUUGAUACGUGCCGGUUGGAGUCUCGUCUUGGUUAACAGAGACGCUUUCAACAGCGUGUGAGUGUGGGCGCGAAGCCUCCAGAAACCGAAGAAAAUUGGUUAUGAGAUACAUAUUUUAAAACAGGAUGGGGCAGGCCCCUGGGUGGCUCAGCCGGUCAAGCAUUCGACCCUUGAUUUUGACUCAGAUCUUGAUCGCAGGGUCCUGUGAGGGAGCCCAGUGUGGGGCUCCCUGCCGGGUGGGGAGUCUGCUUGGGACUCUCUCCCUCUGUGCCCCUCCCCCCGACGCGUGCUCUCUCUCUGUCUCUCUCAAAACAAAUACACAUUUUUUUAAAAUGUU